GAUGAAGAACGCAGCGAAAUGCGAUAAGUAGUGUGAAUUGCAGAAUUCCGUGAAUCAUCGAAUCUUUGAACGCACAUUGCGCCCCUUGGUAUUCCGAGGGGCAUGCCUGUUCGAGCGUCAUUUCAACCCUCAAGCACAGCUUGGUCUUGGGCUUCGCCGCUAACCCGGCGGGUCUUAAAAUCAGUGGCGGUGCCGUCGGGCCCUGAGCGCAGUAAUCUCUCUCGCUAUAGGGUCCCGGCGGAUGCUGGCCAGUAACCCCCAAUUUUCUAUGGUUGACCUCGGAUCAGGUAGGGAUACCCGCUGAACUUAAGCAUAUCAAUAAGCGGAGGA
rnacentral:misc_RNA from 1 species